rnacentral:misc_RNA from 1 species
GCUGGGGGUGUUGGGGGUAUUGGGGCGAAAUGUCUCGUUUCCAAUUUUGAUAAGUGUGUACUAAAACUUCAACACAAUUGUAAUGUUCGAAAUAUAUCUCUAUCUAACUCAUCUAGCCACUCCAAAUGGAUAAUUUUGCAAUAUUCUACCAUACCAUGUUCAAUCUUUACAUAUCAUAUCAUAGGAUAAUUAAUCAAUCGAGGUCAAUAGUAAUAAAAACAUUAUUAGCUAAA